AUGCAUAUAAACUCAUACCUUAAGCAUAAACGAUAGUAAGCAAAUGAAGUAAAUUGGUAAUUGGAAGGGAUAACUGACUGCUGUCAGUUUUACAUUGAAGUUGCUUACAAAAAUAUAGCACAAAUAAAAAGUUUAA